GAUCAUGGCUCAGAUUGAACGCUGGCGGCAGGCCUAACACAUGCAAGUCGAACGGUAACAGGAAACAGCUUGCUGUUUCGCUGACGAGUGGCGGACGGGUGAGUAAUGUCUGGGAAACUGCCUGAUGGAGGGGGGAUAACUACUGGAAACGGUAGCUAAUACCGCAUAACGUCGCAAGACCAAAGAGGGGGGACCUUCGGGCCGUCUUGCCAUCGGAUGUGCCCCACGAUGGGGAGUUAGCUAGUAGGU
rnacentral:rRNA from 1 species